rnacentral:tRNA from 1 species
GGUGAGCUGGCUCAGUGGUUCAGAGUGCCGACUGCUCUUCCAAAGGUCCUGAGUUCAAAUCCCAGCAUCCACA